rnacentral:rRNA from 1 species
GACGAACGCUGGCGGCGUGCCUAAUACAUGCAAGUAGAACGCAGAUGCGAACGGGUGAGUAUCGUGUAUGUAACUUCCUCAUAGUGGGGGAUAACUAUUUGAAACGAUAGCUAAUACCGCAUACCUUGAGAUGGACCUGCUUUGCUUUAGCUAGUUGGUGGGGUAAAGGCUCACAAAGGCGACGAUACAUAGCUGACCUGAGAGGGUGAUCGGCCACACUGGAACUGAGACACGGCCCAGACUCCAACGGGAGGCAGCAGUGGGGAAUCUGCGACAAUGGGCGGAAGUAUGACCGAGCAACGCCGCGUGUAUGAAGAAGGCCUUCGGGUUGUAAAGUACUUUCAGCGAGGAGCGUUACUCGCAGAAGAAGCACCGGCUAACUCCGUGCCAGCGGCCGCGGUAAUUC